AGGGUUGAGUUUUGAGAUACUUGAUUUGGGAUCCUGAACACAAGAUCUCCAGUGAGUGAAUGUCUUCACGUGUGGCUGCUCACAGGGAGCCCAACUCCUUUUCUCCAGCCUGCUGUUUCAUGGAAGUGCAAGGAGUCCACGUGGCGUGGCUCACCUCUCUGAAGGAGCAGCCCUGGAAGCUGGGACCUCUGCUUCAAAUCCCAAGUUCCACCUACUGAACAGGUCACAGCCAGAGAGCCAACUCCACUGUCUGGGAGAAAGGAGUAAGGAAAUGAAACUUCUGGGUGCUCUUGGAGCAAUGGCACAUUCUGCCCUGCCUUCCUCCUCCUGACCUUAUGCACAGCUGGGUUAUGGUGUGCUGUCCUCUGCACACCUUUCACAACAAUUCAGUUUAUACCUUUGCUGCACUGGGCAGAGUAGCUCAGGAAUAUCUGACUUGGCUCUGAAAUACCAGCUCACCUCUGAGAAACAACAGAGUCCCCUUUGUCACUGUCUCUUUCUUGUCUGAACUCCUGUAUCUGGGGUCAGUACACUUUUGUACAGAAAACAUUGAAUCUUCUUUCAUAUAUCGAAUAAAUGAGCACACAGUAAAUUCAAAUUGUUUAAAACUUACAGAAUGGGCAGGAUAAAACUAUUGCUUAGUAAAAUACCCAGUGCAUGAUUUCAUUUAGAGUUUGGCUGAGAAACCUGUUUAAACUUAGUUCUUAAACACAGCUGUGAAACUUGUGAAGAUGUCACAUCAGAUGUCACACCCAACAACCUUGAAAGCCUCCUGGGAAGGUCAUCACAGCACCAAUAGUGAGCAGUAAUUCUAACAGGAUGCUUUGCUUCAUUCCUCUGGCCACUCCUUGUUGAGCUCCUGCAACCCCAGACAUGAAGUUUUUCUUCUACCCAAUGUGGUUUCAACUGCUUCUCCAUAUCAGUUAUUCAUAUCUGAAAGGGAAAAGAAAAAUACUAACAUAAAUUGCUGGACCCUGGAAUAAAAUGGUUUUUUUAUUUAACUGACAGGGCUUAUGGUUACCUUCAGACAUAGCUUUUAAAGUAGUUUUUAGCUGGA
rnacentral:lncRNA from 1 species